GCGAAUGGUGGCGGAAUUGGUAGACGCGCUAGCUUCAGGUGUUAGUGUCCUUCGGACGUGAGGGUUCAAGUCCCUCUCUUCGCACCA
rnacentral:tRNA from 1 species